rnacentral:rRNA from 1 species
UACGUAGGGGGCAAGCGUUGUCCGGAUUUAUUGGGCGUAAAGAGCGUGUAGGCGGCCAAGCAGGUCCGCUGUGAAAACUCGAGGCUCAACCUCGAGAUGUCGGCGGAAACCAUCUGGCUAGAGUCCGGAAGAGGAAAGUGGAUUCCUGGUGUAGCGGUGAAAUGCGCAGAUAUCGGGAGGAACACCUAUGGCGAAGGCAGCUCGCUGGGACGUUACUGACGCUGAGGAGCGAAAGCGUGGGGAGCGAACAGG